AUUAUGGCCCAACUGGUCGUCUGGCAGUCUGGCAUUAAUUACUGGAACUCGAAUUCGAGAUCGGGUUACGUGUGUCUCUUUCCAUCGACUGAUAAGCAGCAGUUUGAAUAGACGAUGGUUAGGGCAGAGAUAACAGCUUCUUCCAUCAAGAUAAUGGUGAAAAGUGUGUCACGUCUGACAUUUGUUUGUGAUGAUUCUCUUCAUGCCCGUCUGGGCUACUACUAUCUCUUCCCGGAGUGCCGUCUGCGUGUGUGGGAAAGAACGUGUGGAAAAAUAAGAUGUACUCGUACGUGAUCAAUGGGAAAUUGAUUUUCGCGUGUAAUUAUUAGAUAUGGCAUACAGAUACACUGUACAGCCAUCGCCCGCCCACAGCAGACAAACGUGAGCUCCACACUGGCGGCAGUCAAGAAACAAGCAACCAGUUUCGGUCUAGUAGCAAGCAAGUCGCAGUCGUCCGUGGGCGUUUUCAUUAAGACGAAACAAGUGGCAACAGGUGGACUCGAGUGGACUCAAGUGGUUGUUGCCUUAUGGAGUCAAGAUGGCUGGCUGUAGCUUUUGGACGCUGGUCGCUGAUGUAAUGCAUAAUGCAUACAGAAUACAAUCAAUUGUGGAAUUACUUUACUUGAAUUUAAUAUUUAUACUGCUGUUGUUUUUUUUCUUAUCAGUGCGUUG